AACGAACGCUGGCGGCAGGCCUAAUACAUGCAAGUCGAACGCACCGCAAGGUGAGUGGCAGACGGGUGAGUAACGCGUGGGAACCUUCCUAGUAGUACGGAAUAACUCCGGGAAACCGGUGCUAAUACCGUAUAAGCCCUCCGGGGGAAAGAUUUAUCGCUACUAGAUGGGCCCGCGUCGGAUUAGCUUGUUGGUGAGGUAAUGGCUCACCAAGGCUUCGAUCCGUAGCUGGUCUGAGAGGAUGAUCAGCCACACUGGGACUGAGACACGGCCCAGACUCCUACGGGAGGCAGCAGUAGGGAAUAUUGGACAAUGGGCGAAAGCCUGAUCCAGCCAUGCCGCGUGAGUGAAGAAGGCCUUAGGGUUGUAAAGCUUCUUUUGGCGGGAAGAUAAUGACGGUACCCGCAGAAUAAGCUCCGGCUAACUUCGUGCCAGCAGCCGCUGUAAGU
rnacentral:rRNA from 1 species